rnacentral:rRNA from 1 species
CCUACGGGAGACAGCAGUGAGGAAUAUUGGACAAUGGGCGCAAGCCUGAUCCAGCCAUGCCGCGUGCAGGAAGAAGCAUCUAUGGUGUGUAAACUGCUUUUGUACGGGAAGAAACACUGCUACGUGUAGCAGCUUGACGGUACCGUAAGAAUAAGGAUCGGCUAACUCCGUGCCAGCAGCCGCGGUAAUACGGAGGAUCCAAGCGUUAUCCGGAAUCAUUGGGUUUAAAGGGUCCGUAGGCGGUUUGGUAAGUCAGUGGUGAAAGCCCAUCGCUUAACGAUGGAACGGCCAUUGAUACUGCCAGACUUGAAUUACUAGGAAGUAACUAGAAUAUGUAGUGUAGCGGUGAAAUGCUUAGAUAUUACAUGGAAUACCAAUUGCGAAGGCAGGUUACUACUAGUUUAUUGACGCUGAUGGACGAAAGCGUGGGGAGCGAACAGGAUUAGAUACCCUGGUAGUCCACGCCGUAAACGAUGGAUACUAGCUGUUCGGGGUAACCUGAGUGGCUAAGCGAAAGUGAUAAGUAUCCACCUGGGGAGUACGUUCGCAGAUUGAAACUUAAGGAAUUGACGGNNGNGAGNGCGAGACGACGACGAGGAGAGG